rnacentral:sRNA from 1 species
GAGUUCUCAUGAAUGUUAUGCUGUGUGUGGCAGAGAAAGAAAGCUGUUGAUGGGAGAGAAUUACACAAUCUGUUUUUCCAUUUGAAUGAAACAUCAUGAACGUUGCGAUUUUGUUAAAUGACAGUCGACCGGCCCAAGGACUGGUACAAGACGAUGUUUAAGCAAAUUCACAUGGUGCACAAGCCGGAUGAUGACACAGACAUGUAUAAUACUCCUUAUACAUACAAUGCAGGUCUGUACAACCCACCCUACAGUGCUCAGUCACACCCUGCUGCAAAGACCCAAACCUACAGACCUCUUUCCAAAAGCCACUCUGACAACAGCCCCAAUGCCUUUAAGGAUGUGUCCUCCCCAGUGCCUCCCCCACAUGUUCCACCUCCAGUCCCACCGCUUCGACCAAGAGAUCGGUCUUCAACAGAAAAGCAUGACUGGGAUCCUCCAGACAGAAAAGUGGACACAAGAAAAUUUCGGUCUGAGCCAAGGAGUAUUUUUGAAUAUGAACCUGGCAAGUCAUCAAUUCUUCAGCAUGAAAGACCAG